rnacentral:ncRNA from 1 species
GACGGAUGCAAAGUUUCCAGACUUUCAGGCGGGUGCUGAAAGAGCUUAUACUGCCGUUGCAGCAGCGAUGGCUGGUGCCAAUGUGGUGUAUGAGGCGG